GCAGGUCAUCUUAAGGAAGAAGAAACCAACAAAUCGUGCACACGGAACAGAAUUGAACGAGGAAAACCACUUCGUCUCAUCAAAGUCUGAGAUGCAGUCGAUAAGGUUUCUGCGGGUUCCUGAAGGAAGAUCUGCCGGGCGAAUCUAAACUCGUAGAGACUGAGUAAGCGGCGAAGAGAAAUUGGAUUUCCAUAUCAAAUCGAAGGCCCUCCAGAGGGGUUCGCCGGCCGCUGCUGACUGCAGCGCUAUCUGAGCCCCACCCGGCCCGGCCCUGCCCAGCGCCGGCCAGCGGAGGCCCGGCCCAGCCGAGCGCAG